UACGGAGGGUGCAAGCGUUAUCCGGAUUUACUGGGUUUAAAGGGUGCGUAGGCGGGCCUGUAAGUCAGUGGUGAAAUCUUCCCGCUUAACGGGAAAACUGCCAUUGAUACUAUAGGUCUUGAAUUCAGUUGAGGUGGGCGGAAUGUGUCGUGUAGCGGUGAAAUGCUUAGAUAUGACAUAGAACACCAAUUGCGAAGGCAGCUUACUUCACGAUCAUUGACACUGAGGCACGAAAGCGUGGGGAGCAAACAGG
rnacentral:rRNA from 1 species